rnacentral:rRNA from 1 species
CGUGUAGGCGGCCUCGCAAGUCGGGUGUGAAAGCCCUGGGCUCAACCCAGGAAGUGCACUCGAAACUGCAAGGCUUGAGUUCCGGAGAGGAAAGCGGAAUUCUCGGUGUAGAGGUGAAAUUCGUAGAUAUCGAGAGGAACACCGGUGGCGAAGGCGGCUUUCUGGACGGCGACUGACGCUGAGACGCGAAAGCGUGGGGAGCAAACA